UAAUAGUCUCUUGAUUAUUUUUGCAUCUCUGCUAAUGAAAGAUAUUGGUUUGUACUUUUCUUUCCCUAGAAUAGUCUUUAUCUGGUUUUGGUAUUCAUUUUUAAUGGUGGUAUUUCUAGUUUAUGAAUUGGUACUUUUAACAAUGCAGUGGCUUCUAUUUUAUUCAAUUAAAUUCAAUUUGAUUUAAUUCAGUUUGAUUCAACUCAAUACCAUCAUUAAAUAAUGUAUAAGGCAGUCUGAUAUGUACUGAGGCAGAUGCAGAGAUAGAUAAAACAGAUUCCAGACUUCUUGAGUUUGGCAAUCAGAUUGAAUAUGUUUCCUUAUAAUACCAAACUCUAGAUCAUAUUAGUUGGUAAAGAAUGAAGAAAGUUCUUUAGAAGCCAUUUAACAAAGCUUUGGUAGACAAAUGAAUUUACGUAGGUACCUUAGAAUAUUUGCUCUUAUCGAGCAUGGAUUUUACCUAUUUUUGUUUCUAUUGUACCCCGGGCUAGAAAAGCUCCGUGUAUAUAGUAAAUACUAAGGAUAUUUUUGGUGAACAAAGGAACAUAUUGUUGGCAUAUUUCUGGAUGAUGAUCUGUAAGUGGUACUCUGAAUCUGGGCAUCUUUAACUGUCCUCAAAAUGUUUUUAAGUGCUAAAUUUAAGUGUUUUUCUUGAUCAUUUUAUGUAUAACUUUCAUCACAACAUGUUUUUCUUGUGACAACAUUUUAAUAUCAUUGCAGUUGCCAACUAUGAAGAUUUUUAAAAUUAUGUUUUGAUAUAUUUUUAUUGAUUCUGAGAGGGGAUAUAAAGAAAAUCAUUUUAUUACCAAAUUGCUCUAUUUCCUCAUCACAAAAAGAGGUUCAUUCUUAUUUUGAUGAUGUUCUCACCUCAGCUCAUACACAGUGCCGAGUCCUUUCCCUUCUCAGUGAAGUCACUUACAGAGAGCACAAUCCAAUCAUUACGUGCACUACCUUAAGUUAAAAAAAAAAUGCCUUUUCACUGACCUAUGCUUUUUUUUCUCCCCAGAAUUAUGCCUCUACUGUUCUCUUAGUUUCUUUGCUGUACAAUAAAGUAAUUGGCUACAUGUACCUAUUGGGGACUUAAAAUAUGGCUAGUGCCACAAAUUGUAACUAUAAUAUUUUCCAUAUAUUGGGUUAAAUUAAAUGUAUUAUUAAAAUAAAUCUUACCUGUUUGUUUUACUUUUUAAAAUGUAGCUACCAAGAAAUUUAAAAUUACGUAUGUGGCUCUUCACAUAUUUCUAAUGAACAACAUUGGAGACUCUUAAGGGAAUGAAAUGGACGUUCUUACUCAUCAUACCAUAAGCAUCCAGGUGAAUGAUUGCUCACUUCUUUCAUCUAAUGAGGAAUUGGCUUUCUUGAGAAUCUCAAUGCAGUGUACCUCCAACCUUAACAGACUGCUGUAAAACACCCUGACCAUUCUUUAGUAUAAGCACUGAAGAAGACAGUAUGUUGACCACGAGGCACCUGGCCUGGCUCAUAGUAUGCCAUCAAGAAAUGCUAAUUUUCUAUUUCCUCUUUUUCAAAGAGUUAUUUCAAGAAAGAAAGGAGAGGAGAGGAUGUUACAAAUUCCAUGUAAAUAAAAUUUGUCACUAAUUCUGUGAA